GACGAACGCUGGCGGCGUGCUUAACACAUGCAAGUCGAGCGGUAAGGCCCUUUCGGGGGUACACGAGCGGCGAACGGGUGAGUAACACGUGGGUGACCUGCCUUUAGCUCUGGGAUAAGCCUGGGAAACUGGGUCUAAUACCGGAUAUGACCCUAUGGCGCAUGUUGUGGGGUGGAAAGCCUUGUGCGGCUAGGGAUGGGCCCGCGGCCUAUCAGCUUGUUGGUGGGGUGAUGGCCUACCAAGGCGACGACGGGUAGCCGGCCUGAGAGGGCGACCGGCCACACUGGGACUGAGACACGGCCCAGACUCCUACGGGAGGCAGCAGUGGGGAAGUCUUGCGCAAUGGGCGAAAGCCUGACGCAGCGACGCCGCGUGAGGGAUGACGGCCUGGUUGUAACU
rnacentral:rRNA from 1 species